rnacentral:rRNA from 1 species
AGCGCAUGUGCUGUGAGCUCGAUGAGUAGGGCGGGACACGUGAUAUCCUGUCUGAAUAUGGGGGGACCAUCCUCCAAGGCUAAAUACUCCUGACUGACCGAUAGUGAACCAGUACCGUGAGGGAAAGGCGAAAAGAACCCCGGCGAGGGGAGUGAAAAAGAACCUGAAACCGUGUACGUACAAGCAGUGGGAGCACCCUUCGGGGUGUGACUGCGUACCUUUUGUAUAAUGGGUCAGCGACUUAUAUUCUGUAGCAAGGUUAACCGAAUAGGGGAGCCGGAGGGAAACCGAGUCUUAACCGGGCGUUAAGUUGCAGGGUAUAGACCCGAAACCCGGUGAUCUAGCCAUGGGCAGGUUGAAGGUUGGGUAACACUAACUGGAGGACCGAACCGACUAAUGUUGAAAAAUUAGCGGAUGACCUGUGGCUGGGGGUGAAAGGCCAAUCAAACCGGGAGAUAGCUGGUUCUCCCCGAAAGCUAUUUAGGUAGCGCCUCGUGAAUUCAUCUCCGGGGGUAGAGCACUGUUUCGGCUAGGGGGCCAUCCCGGCUUACCAACCCGAUGCAAACUGCGAAUACCGGAGAAUGUUAUCACGGGAGACACACGGCGGGUGCUAACGUCCGUCGUGAAGAGGGAAACAACCCAGACCGCCAGCUAAGGUCCCAAAGUCAUGGUUAAGUGGGAAACGAUGUGGGAAGGCCCAGACAGCCAGGAUGUUGGCUUAGAAGCAGCCAUCAUUUAAAGAAAGCGUAAUAGCUCACUGGUCGAGUCGGCCUGCGCGGAAGAUGUAACGGGGCUAAACCAUGCACCGAAGCUGCGGCAGCGACGCUGAUGCGUUGUUGGGUAGGGGAGCGUUCUGUAAGCCUGCGAAGGUGGCCUGUGAGGGUUGCUGGAGGUAUCAGAAGUGCGAAUGCUGACAUAAGUAACGAUAAAGCGGGUGAAAAGCCCGCUCGCCGGAAGACCAAGGGUUCCUGUCCAACGUUAAUCGGGGCAGGGUGAGUCGACCCCUAAGGCGAGGCCGAAAGGCGUAGUCGAUGGGAAACGGGUUAAUAUUCCCGUACUUGGUGUUACUGCGAAGGGGGGACGGAGAAGGCUAUGUUGGCCGGGCGACGGUUGUCCCGGUUUAAGCGUGUAGGUGUGUGUUCCAGGUAAAUCCGGUUCACUUUAACACUGAGGCGUGACGACGAGGCACUACGGUGCUGAAGCAACAAAUGCCCUGCUUCCAGGAAAAGCCUCUAAGCAUCAGGUAACAUCAAAUCGUACCCCAAACCGACACAGGUGGUCAGGUAGAGAAUACCAAGGCGCUUGAGAGAACUCGGGUGAAGGAACUAGGCAAAAUGGUGCCGUAACUUCGGGAGAAGGCACGCUGACACGUAGGUGAAGUGAUUUACUCAUGGAGCUGAAGUCAGUCGAAGAUACCAGCUGGCUGCAACUGUUUAUUAAAAACACAGCACUGUGCAAACACGAAAGUGGACGUAUACGGUGUGACGCCUGCCCGGUGCCGGAAGGUUAAUUGAUGGGGUCAGCGCAAGCGAAGCUCCUGAUCGAAGCCCCGGUAAACGGCGGCCGUAACUAUAACGGUCCUAAGGUAGCGAAAUUCCUUGUCGGGUAAGUUCCGACCUGCACGAAUGGCGUAAUGAUGGCCAGGCUGUCUCCACCCGAGACUCAGUGAAAUUGAACUCGCUGUGAAGAUGCAGUGUACCCGCGGCAAGACGGAAAGACCCCGUGAACCUUUACUAUAGCUUGACACUGAACAUUGAGCCUUGAUGUGUAGGAUAGGUGGGAGGCUUUGAAGCGUGGACGCCAGUCUGCGUGGAGCCGACCUUGAAAUACCACCCUUUAAUGUUUGAUGUUCUAACGUGGACCCGUGAUCCGGGUUGCGGACAGUGUCUGGUGGGUAGUUUGACUGGGGCGGUCUCCUCCUAAAGAGUAACGGAGGAGCACGAAGGUUGGCUAAUCCUGGUCGGACAUCAGGAGGUUAGUGCAAUGGCAUAAGCCAGCUUGACUGCGAGCGUGACGGCGCGAGCAGGUGCGAAAGCAGGUCAUAGUGAUCCGGUGGUUCUGAAUGGAAGGGCCAUCGCUCAACGGAUAAAAGGUACUCCGGGGAUAACAGGCUGAUACCGCCCAAGAGUUCAUAUCGACGGCGGUGUUUGGCACCUCGAUGUCGGCUCAUCACAUCCUGGGGCUGAAGUAGGUCCCAAGGGUAUGGCUGUUCGCCAUUUAAAGUGGUACGCGAGCUGGGUUUAGAACGUCGUGAGACAGUUCGGUCCCUAUCUGCCGUGGGCGCUGGAGAACUGAGGGGGGCUGCUCCUAGUACGAGAGGACCGGAGUGGACGCAUCACUGGUGUUCGGGUUGUCAUGCCAAUGGCACUGCCCGGUAGCUAAAUGCGGAAGAGAUAAGUGCUGAAAGCAUCUAAGCACGAAACUUGCCCCGAG